CCUACGGGUGGCAGCAGUCGAGAAUUUUUCUCAAUGGGCGAAAGCCUGAAGGAGCGACGCCGCGUGGAGGAUGAAGGCCUUCGGGUCGUAAACUCCUGUCAUUUGGGAACUAGUACUAGAAGAGGAAGAGACGGCUAACUCUGUGCCAGCAGCCGCGGUAAUACAGAGGUCUCAACCGUUGUUCGGAUUUAUUGGGCGUAAAGGGUGCGUAGGCGGUCGGGUAAGUCGGAUGUGAAAUCCCAGGGCUCAACCCUGGAACUGCAUUCGAUACUGCUUGGCUAGGGUACUGGAGAGGAGACUGGAAUUUACGGUGUAGCAGUGAAAUGCGUAGAUAUCGUAAGGAAGACCAGUGGCGAAGGCGAGUCUCUGGACAGUACCGACGCUGAGGCACGAAGGUCAGGGGAGCAAACGGGAUUAGAUACCCUUGUAGUC
rnacentral:rRNA from 1 species